rnacentral:rRNA from 1 species
GACGAACGCUGGCGGCGUGCUUAACACAUGCAAGUCGAACGGAAAGGCCCUGCUUUUGUGGGGUGCUCGAGUGGCGAACGGGUGAGUAACACGUGAGUAACCUGCCCUUGACUUUGGGAUAACUUCAGGAAACUGGGGCUAAUACCGGAUAGGAGCUCCUGCUGCAUGGUGGGGGUUGGAAAGUUUCGGCGGUUGGGGAUGGACUCGCGGCUUAUCAGCUUGUUGGUGGGGUAGUGGCUUACCAAGGCUUUGACGGGUAGCCGGCCUGAGAGGGUGACCGGGCACCUUGGUACUGAGAGAGGGCCCAGACUCCUACGGGAGGCAGCAGUGGGAAAUAUUGCACAAUGGGCGGGAGCCUGAUGCAGCAACGCCGCGUGCGGGAUGACGGCCUUCGGGUUGUAAACCGCUUUCGCCUGUGACGAAGCGUGAGUGACGGUAAUGGGUAAAGAAGCACCGGCUAACUACGUG